rnacentral:lncRNA from 1 species
GUCAAAAUACCCACCCGGGUAGAUACGUUUCUCCGGAUCCAGCUCAGCGUUACGCUGGAACUCGAUGUAACCAACCACUAACACCUCGAUCCAUAUCAAUGUCGUCAAGGAAAAUGGCAAUGGCUGUCCCAAAUACGAUGAACCUUCCACCAGUUCCACCUAAUAGGUGUGUGGAAACAAGAAACGAACCAAACCAAAAAAAAACAUGAACAAAAUACGAUGCUUAUUACAAACAUAUAAAAUGCAUUAAAAUAUAAUAAAAUACUAGAUUUUAAGUAGCAUUAUAUAUUUCAGUAGCUAUUAUAUUAUUAAACUGAAUUUUGUUUCAACCGAACCGAACCAACUAUAUGUUCCACAUAUGCAUUGUUCGGACACUUAGCCAUGCUUUUAACACUUAAACAACUCUUGUCAAUCAUGCAGAACGUUGUCAUCUUCUUAUUUAUAAUCUUUGUAUCUUAGUUCCAACGACCGACACGUGGAAAACUAUGACGAUCGAAAUGAACGUACCUUUCCGGCGUCUUGCCAGGCGAUCCCGGUGAGACCUUCGACGGCAAGAGCCCCAAGAACACCAAGCAUGGCCCACCUUCCGUGGAUCAGCUCGCAUUCUCUGAAACGUUCGAUCCCGAACACUUCAGUGUAUGGCUGAAACGGUGUCGGGUUGAUCUCCUUC